UGGGCUGGAAUUAAAAAAAAAAGGUGUCGGCCCAGUUUGUCCCAAAGGCCCGCGCUAAUUAGGGCUUAAAAUUUGUAAGCCCUAGCCCUAGACGUAUAUAUAGCAAAUGAGCUCCCCUCUGCCGACUCUCGCAAUCACAAUAUCACGUUUUCAUCUGAAGAGUUUCUGCUCAUAAUACGAAGUUGAAGAAAGCUCCCUGUCACCAUGAGGGCUAAGUGGAAGAAGAAGCGUAUGAGGAGGCUGAAAAGGAAGCGCCGAAAGAUGAGACAGAGAUCCAAGUAGACGCUGCAUUUCAAAAAUGUUAGGUGCUUCUCCUGAAAUGCUUUCACUGCUGUCGACAUGGGUUGUGCUGGAGGUGGUGGGGAAUUUGAAGGGGAAGCUUGCAUUGUCUAGUGCAGUUUCUAAAUCUAGGUUGGGUUUUGUUGCAUCGCUAAGAGUUUAAAAUCGAACACUAAUAAGUUAACUUAUUUCUUGUAACCGUACUAUUUUCUAUCUUCAGCUGGAUGACUUUUUGUCUUAGAUACUUUAAUUUGAACUCUAUAUUGAUUGCUUUUGAUGAAUGUGAGUGGUAACCAUUUGGACA